rnacentral:rRNA from 1 species
UACGUAGGGUGCAAGCGUUAAUCGGACUUACUGGGCGUAAAGCGUGCGCAGGCGGCUUUGCAAGACAGAUGUGAAAUCCCCGGGCUUAACCUGGGAACUGCAUUUGUGACUGCAUGGCUGGAGUGCGGCAGAGGGGGAUGGAAUUCCGCGUGUAGCAGUGAAAUGCGUAGAUAUGCGGAGGAACACCGAUGGCGAAGGCAAUCCCCUGGGCCUGCACUGACGCUCAUGCACGAAAGCGUGGGGAGCAAACAGG